rnacentral:rRNA from 1 species
GAUGAACGCUGGCGGCGUGCCUAAUACAUGCAAGUCGAGCGAAUGGAUUGAGAGCUUGCUCUUAUGAAGUUAGCGGCGGACGGGUGAGUAACACGUGGGUAACCUGCCCAUAAGACUGGGAUAACUCCGGGAAACCGGGGCUAAUACCGGAUAACAUUUUGAACCGCAUGGUUCGAAAUUGAAAGGCGGCUUGGGCUGUCACUUAUGGAUGGACCCGCGUCGAAUUAGCUAGUUGGUGAGGUAACGGCUCACCAAGGCAACGAUGCGUAGCCGACCUGAGAGGGUGAUCGGCCACACUGGGACUGAGACACGGCCCAGACUCCUACGGGAGGCAGCAGUAGGGAAUCUUCCGCAAUGGACGAAAGUCUGACGGAGCAACGCCGCGUGAGUGAUGAAGGCUUUCGGGUCGUAAAACUCUGUUGUUAGGGAAGAACAAGUGCUAGUUGAAUAAGCUGGCACCUUGACGGUACCUAACCAGAAAGCCACGGCUAACUACGUGCCAGCCGCCGCGGUAA